CACAUCGACGGGGAGGUUUGGCACCUCGAUGUCGGCUCAUCGCAUCCUGGGGCUGUAGUCGGUCCCAAGGGUUGGGCUGUUCGCCCAUUAAAGCGGUACGCGAGCUGGGUUCAGAACGUCGUGAGACAGUUCGGUCCCUAUCCGUCGCGGGCGCAGGAAAUUUGAGAGGAGCUGUCCUUAGUACGAGAGGACCGGGAUGGACGUUCCGCUGGUGUACCAGUUGUGCCGCCAGGCGCAUCGCUGGGUAGCUAUGAACGGAAGGGAUAAACGCUGAAAGCAUCUAAGUGUGAAGCCCCCCUCGAGAUGAGAUUUCCCAUUCCUAUAUGGAAGUAAGACCCCUGAAAGAUGAUCAGGUAGAUAGGCUGGAAGUGGAAGUGCAGCGAUGCAUGGAGCGGACCAGUACUAAUCGGUCGAGGACUUAACCAA
rnacentral:rRNA from 1 species